GGGGACGUUACGGAUUCGACAGGAAUGGUCCAAGCUUGGACUGCGCGUCGGAGGGCUCGGCUCCGUAUCAACGGCACAAAUAGUAACUGGCAAAAACCAAAACCUCGCUUUCGCAGCGUAAGCUAGCGUAGCAGUCUGCCUGUCCAUCACCCAUGUGGAUCUGCAGACUUCAACUUAAGUGGGAUACGGUAGGCGGUGCGAUCCGAGCCGCCUGCAAGAGAUCAGUGGAUUAGUGCCUGUGACGCCUGCUUACUGGCAGAUCAGUGCACGAACCUUUAAUAAGUAAGCUAUGCGCGUAGACGUUCAAGUACAGGAGUUUCUGGACGCGGGUUCGACUCCCGCCGUCUCCAUAG
rnacentral:tmRNA from 1 species